rnacentral:rRNA from 1 species
UACGGAGGGUGCAAGCGUUAUCCGGAUUCACUGGGUUUAAAGGGUGCGUAGGCGGGUUGGUAAGUCCGUGGUGAAAUCCCCGAGCUCAACUCGGGAACUGCGUCCGAUACUGGCGGGCUUGAAUCCGGGAGAGGGAUGCGGAAUUCCAGGUGUAGCGGUGAAAUGCGUAGAUAUCUGGAGGAAUACCGGUGGCGAAGGCGGCAUCCUGGACCGGCAUUGACGCUGAGGAGCGAAAGCUAGGGGAGCAAACGGG